UACGUAGGGGGCAAGCGUUGUCCGGAAUCAUUGGGCGUAAAGCGCGUGUAGGCGGCUCGGUAAGUCUGCUCUGAAAGCCCGGGGCUCAACCCUGGGAGGCGGGUGGAUACUGCUGAGCUCGAGUCCGGAAGAGGCGAGUGGAAUUCCUGGUGUAGCGGUGAAAUGCGCAGAUAUCAGGAGGAACACCAAUGGCGAAGGCAGCUCGCUGGGAUGGUACUGACGCUGAGACGCGAAAGCGUGGGGAGCAAACAGG
rnacentral:rRNA from 1 species